rnacentral:lncRNA from 1 species
UAGGGGAGUAGCUGCGGGUUCACAGGGUGCGGGGGAGCCUGGGAAUGGUAGGGUUCAGUUUGGGACUGGCAAUCCACUGCAUAAAGGACAUCCUAGAAGUCUCCUGCUGCACGUCGGGGGACCCUGCUGGGGCCCAAAAGCCAGGGUUUGGAUCUUCCUCUGAUAGUUCUACUUCAUUCUGUCAAAGAUCCAAUUCCCUAAAGAGUUUUUUUCAUCAUCUUCAAACAUCCAACUAAGAUGUCAUAGAGCAGAAGAGAGAGUCUGUGAUGACACCGAGCCUAAG